GUGAUGUCCGUCCCACCCUGACGGUGCUGCCCCCCUCCAGAGAAGAGCUGGAGCAGGGAAAGGCCACGCUCAUGUGCCUGGCCGACAAGGGCUUCCCCUCAGACUGGAGUCUGGCCUGGAAGGUGGACGACAGCAGCAUCAGCAGCAGCAGCUGGGAGGAGAGCAAGAGCCCCGGGGUGCUGGAGAAGGAUGGCCACUACAGCUGGAGCAGCACCCUGAGGCUCACUGCAGACCAGUGGAGCAAGGUGGGCUCUGUGACCUGUGAGGCCACCCAGGGCUCCCAGACUCUGGUCUCAGAGACAGUGAGGAGAGACCAGUGUUCCCAGUCCUGACCUGACUCACUGGGACUCUGCUACUGGUUUCACUCUGCUACUGCUCUCACUCUGCACUCUGUAACCAUCUCUGUCUUUUAUUGGACAUGUUUCAAUAACAAUAUUUACCAGCUUGUUGCAGUGG